AUUGAACGCUGGCGGCAGGCCUAACACAUGCGAGUCGAACGGUAACAGGAAGAAGCUUGCUUCUUUGCUGACGAGUGGCGGACGGGUGAGUAAUGUCUGGGAAACUGCCUGAUGGAGGGGGAUAACUACUGGAAACGGUAGCUAAUACCGCAUAACGUCGCAAGACCAAAAAGGGGGACCUUCGGGCCUCUUGCCAUCGGCUGUGCCCAGAUGGGAUUAGCUAGUAGGUGGGGUAACGGCUCACCUAGGCGACGAUCCGUAGCUGGUCUGAGAGGAUGACCAGCCACACUGGAACUGAGACACGGUCCAGACUCCUACGGGAGGCAGCAGUGGGGAAUAUUGCACAAUGGGCGCAAGCCUGAUGCAGCCAUGCCGCGUGUAUGAAGAAGGCCUUCGGGUUGUAAAGUUCUUUCAGCGGGGAGGAAGGGAGUAAAGUUAAUACCUUUGCUCAUUGACGUUACCCGCAGAAGAAGCACCGGCUAACUCCGUG
rnacentral:rRNA from 1 species